GUGCUCGCUUCGGCAGCGCAUUUACUACAAAUGAUGCAGAGAAGGUCAGUGUGGGCCCUGCACGGGGAUGACACGCAAAUUCACGAGGUGUUCCAUGUUUGA